CGAACGCUGGCGGCAGGCCUAACACAUGCAAGUCGAACGCCGUAGCAAUACGGAGUGGCAGACGGGUGAGUAACGCGUGGGAACAUGCCCUUUGGUUCGGAAUAACUCAGGGAAACUUGAGCUAAUACCGGAUAAGCCCGAGAGGGGAAAGAUUUAUCGCCGAAGGAUUGGCCCGCGUCCGAUUAGCUAGUUGGUGAGGUAACGGCUCACCAAGGCGACGAUCGGUAGCUGGUCUGAGAGGAUGAUCAGCCACACUGGGACUGAGACACGGCCCAGACUCCUACGGGAGGCAGCAGUGGGGAAUAUUGGACAAUGGGCGCAAGCCUGAUCCAGCCAUGCCGCGUGAGUGAUGAAGGCCCUAGGGUUGUAAAGCUCUUUCGCCAGGGACGAUAAUGACGGUACCUGGAUAAGAAGCCCCGGCUAACUUCGUGCCAGCAG
rnacentral:rRNA from 1 species